UACAGAGGGUGCGAGCGUUGUUCGGAAUUAUUGGGCGUAAAGGGCGCGUAGGCGGUGCCACAAGUCACCUGUGAAAUCUCUGGGCUUAACUCAGAGCCUGCAGGCGAAACUGUGGUGCUGGAGUAUGGGAGAGGUGCGUGGAAUUCCUGGUGUAGCGGUGAAAUGCGUAGAUAUCAGGAGGAACACCUGCGGUGUAGACAGCUUUCUGGACCAUCACUGACGCUGAGACACGAAAGCGUGGGUAGCAAACAG
rnacentral:rRNA from 1 species